GACGAACGCUGGCGGCGUGCUUAACACAUGCAAGUCGAACGGAAAGGCCCUGCUUUUGUGGGGUGCUCGAGUGGCGAACGGGUGAGUAACACGUGAGUAACCUGCCCUUGACUUUGGGAUAACUUCAGGAAACUGGGGCUAAUACCGGAUAGGAGCUCCUGCUGCAUGGUGGGGGUUGGAAAGUUUCGGCGGUUGGGGAUGGACUCGCGGCUUAUCAGCUUGUUGGUGGGGUAGUGGCUUACCAAGGCUUUGACGGGUAGCCGGCCUGAGAGGGUGACCGGCCACAUUGGGACUGAGAGACGGCCCAGACUCCUACGGGAGGCAGCAGUGGGGAAUAUUGCACAAUGGGCGGAAGCCUGAUGCAGCAACGCCGCGUGCGGGAUGACGGCCUUCGGGUUGUAAACCGCUUUCGCCUGUGACGAAGCGUGAGUGACGGUAAUGGGUAAGGAAGCACCGGCUAACUACGUG
rnacentral:rRNA from 1 species